GCAUAAUUUUAAAUAGCAUUAAAUCUGAACCGUCAAACCCCCGAGGAGUGGCGUCUUUCACGCGCAAGCGUACUCAUCGUUUAACGGGAACGGACAGUCGGCUGUCAGUGCUCGAAUACAAGUUGAGUCCGGUACAGCCAAACGAGUGAGGAAAACAGUAGACUUCCAACGAAGAUAGUUUAUAUUGUGUCUCCACUUGCUGUCUUUUAUCGUUGCUUUCGUUUUGGCGAGUAGAGAAAGAACAGUAGCGCUUUAAAUUUCAGUCAGACAGCGUCGUUAUAUUCAAGAGACUUUUGAAUCGCUCCGUCUGACAGGACCAAACGCUCAGAAUAACUUCAGGAAAAGUGUUUGUUUGCGCGCCGCAUCCUCGGGGCUCUGUGACCAUGGGCAACCGGGGGAUGGAGGACCUCAUCCCGCUGGUGAACCGCCUGCAGGAUGCUUUCAGCGCCAUCGGACAGAGCUGCAACCUGGACCUGCCACAAAUCACGGUGGUCGGGGGUCAGAGCGCAGGCAAAAGCUCUGUUCUAGAAAAUUUCGUGGGCAGAGAUUUCCUGCCAAGAGGCUCAGGGAUUGUUACAAGGAGACCACUUGUCCUCCAGCUCAUAAGUGCAACCUCAGAGUAUGCAGAGUUUCUGCACUGUAAAGGGAAGAAGUUUACAGACUUUGAUGAGGUUCGACGGGAGAUUGAAGCGGAAACAGACAGAGUCACAGGAGCAAAUAAGGGCAUAUCCUCCAUUCCCAUCAACCUACGUGUCUACUCCCCAAAUGUUUUGAACCUGACCUUGAUAGAUCUUCCAGGCAUAACUAAAGUCCCAGUAGGAGAUCAGCCCCUUGACAUUGAAUACCAGAUCAGAGACAUGAUUAUGCAGUUCAUCUGCAGAGACAAUUGUCUCAUCCUGGCUGUCACACCCGCUAACAUGGAUCUGGCUAACUCUGAUGCUCUUAAACUGGCCAAAGAUGUGGAUCCACAGGGCCAGCGCACUAUUGGUGUGAUCACUAAGCUGGAUCUGAUGGACGAGGGCACGGAUGCCAGGGAUGUGCUGGAAAACAGGUUACUGCCACUGCGCAGAGGUUAUAUUGGUGUGGUAAACCGUAGUCAGAAGGACAUCGAGGGGAAGAAGGACAUCAGUGCAGCUCUGGCUGCAGAGAGACGGUUCUUCAAGUCACACCCAGCAUACAGACAUAUGGUGACCUGCAUGGGCACUCCAUUACUACAGAGGGUCCUCAACCAGCAACUCACCAACCACAUUCGUGAUACAUUACCAGCAUUUCGGAGUCGACUGCAGGGUCAGCUUCUGUCACUGGAUAAAGAGGCAGAGGAGUACAAGCAUCUGAACCCAGACAACCCCUCACGCAAGACCAAGGCUUUAAUACAGCUGAUACAGCACUUUGGGUUGGACUUUGAGAAGAGGAUCGAGGGAUCUGGUGAUCAGGUGGACACGGUGGAGCUUUCAGGAGGAGCCAAAAUCAACCGUGUCUUUCAUGAGCGCUUUCCUUUUGAACUUGUCAAGAUGGAGUUUGAUGAGAAAGAAUUACGAAGGGAGAUCAGUUAUGCCAUUAAAAACAUCCAUGGAAUCAGGACAGGCCUUUUCACACCUGAUAUGGCCUUUGAAGCCAUAGUGAAGAAACAGAUUGUGAAACUGAAAGGACCAUGUCUCAAGUGUGUAGACUUGGUGAUUCAGGAGCUCAUCAGCACAGUACAACAAUGUACAAACAAGUUAGGGACCUUUCCUAAACUACGGGAGGAGACAGAGAGGAUAGUGACCACACACAUUCGGGAACGAGAGAGUCAAGCCAAAGACCAGGUUUUACUCUCACUAGAGAUUCAGCUCUCCUAUAUUAACACAAACCAUGAAGAUUUCAUCGGAUUUGCAAACGCUCAACAGAAACCCAAUCAGAAGAGUAAGAAGGCUUCAGCAGGGAACCAGGGUGCCGCCCCUCCUCCACCCAGUCAAAUUGUGAUCCGCAAGGGCUGGUUAACCAUCAACAACAUCAGUCUGAUCAAAGGAGGGGCCAAGGAGUACUGGUUCGUACUCACCGCUGAAUGUCUGUCCUGGUUUAAAGACGAUGAGGAAAAGGAGAAGAAAUACAUGCUUCCUCUGGACAACCUGAAGGUGCGAGACAUAGAAAAGAGCUUCAUGUCCAGCAAACAUGUCUUUGCCAUCUUUAACAUGGAGCAGAGGAACGUGUAUAAGGACUACAGGCAUCUGGAGUUGGCAUGUGACAUGCAGGAGGAGGUGGACAGCUGGAAGGCCUCUCUGCUGCGGGCCGGGGUCUACCCUGAGAAAACCGCAGUGGAGGGAGAGAGUUCAGGCCAUGCAGAGAGCUUCUCCAUGGACCCUCAGCUAGAGCGGCAGGUCGAGACCAUUCGUAACCUGGUGGACUCGUACAUGAGCAUCGUCUACAAAAGCAUCAGAGACUUGAUGCCCAAGACCAUUAUGCACCUCAUCAUCAACAAUGUAAAAGAGUUUAACCACUCUGAGUUGCUGGCUCAGCUUUACUCUUCAGGAGAUCAGUUCUCUCUGAUGGACGAGUCUCCUGAACAGGCCCAACGCAGAGAGGAGGUGCUGCAUACCCACGCCGCCCUAAAGGAAGCGCUAAACAUCAUCACAGAUAUCUCCACCUCCACCAUUUCUACCCCUCUACCACCCCCCGUGGAUAACUCCUGGCUGCAUGGUGGCUCCACAUUGCACCGCAGGUCUCCUCCAGGUAACAGUGUUCCUAAGAAGCAUCCCGCUCCGGCUGCUCCUCCUCUCCCCAUUCGCUCAGAACCUUCUGCCCAACCCAUCUUCAGCAACAUAGACACCACCAACAUCACCAGCCGCCCCAAACGAGUCCCUCCCAGUGUCCCCAGGUAAAUCAGCCACUCCAGCCCUCCACCCCUCCACCUUCGAACCAUCAACCAGUCCUCUGACCUGCAGUCACACUAUCUGUCCAAGUCCUCCUUGGAAGUUCGUACUUACAGGAGACAGCCACCAGCAGUGCCCACGCAACAGCCACAAUGAGACAUAAAACGGCAUUAUAAAGCCCACCUGUGAGAGAAGAAUCAUCAAUCAUCCCAACCUGUUUCAUUAAACAGACCUCAAGAAAAUCUGAUACAUGAGAUUCAAAUUUAUAUGUGUUGGACACAAUGGAAAAAAAAACAGCUUGGUUUGACCAGUUCUGCGUCUUUUUUAUAUCCAUUUUUUAGUCAAUUGUCCUUUUGCUCGCCGAUUCUGCUUUUAGUUACCAAGAUUGAGCAGUAUGCUGUCAUGCUGGAGAGGUUUGCUUCUGUUCUGUACAUAUGUUAAUGCCUGUUGUGUUGAAUAUUUUAUGUGUAGUUUCGCACUGAGCGCGUGUAUGUGUGAGUUUCAAUCACAAUGGUUGUACAGGCUUAAA